UACGUAGGGGGCAAGCGUUGUCCGGAAUCAUUGGGCGUAAAGAGCGUGUAGGCGCCAGAAAAGUCCGCUGUGAAAACUCGAGACUCAACUUCGAGCUGUCGGUGGAAACUUUCUGGCUAGAGUCCGGAAGAGGAGAAUGGAAUUCCUGGUGUAGCGGUGAAAUGCGCAGAUAUCAGGAAGAACACCCGUGGCGAAGGCGGUUCUCUGGGACGGUACUGACGCUGAGACGCGAAAGCGUGGGGAGCGAACAGG
rnacentral:rRNA from 1 species